GACGAACGCUGGCGGCGUGCCUAAUACAUGCAAGUUGAGCGCUGAAGGUUGGUACUUGUACCAACUGGAUGAGCAGCGAACGGGUGAGUAACGCGUGGGGAAUCUGCCUUUGAGCGGGGGACAACAUUUGGAAACGAAUGCUAAUACCGCAUAAAAACUUUAACCACAUGUUUCAAUUUUGAAAGAUGCAUUUGCUUACCCCAAGAUUGUUCUCCCGUUGUAUUGGCUUAUUGGGGAAGUAAAGGCCCACCAAGGGAAUAUUCCAUGCACGACCUGAGGGGGUGGACGGCCACAACGGGACUGGGACACGGCCCAAACUCCUACGGGAGGCAGCAGGAGGGAAGCUUCGGCAAUUGACGAAAGUCUUACCGAGCAACGCCGCGUGAGUGAAGAAGGGUUUCGGAUCGUAAAACUCGGGUGGUAGAGAAGAACGUUGGUGAGAGUGGAAAGCUCAUCAAGUGACGGUAACUACCCAGAAAGGGACGGCUAACUACGUG
rnacentral:rRNA from 1 species